GUUGGUCAUAAUGGUUCCUUUUGGAACCCAUAUUUUCUUUACAUUUGAGUUUACAGAUUUGUUAGAGAAACAAGUGUAUGACUUGUGUCCUACUCUACCACAUUUGAAGCAAGUAAUAUUAGAAAAUUUGUUACUUGAAGAGUUUACAUAGAUAUUUUUCAGAUACUUUUGUUUCUUCAAGGGGUUAUAGCCAAGUCCAGCCUUAUCAUACAUGGCCUUUUGAUUUUCAAGAAUCAUAUUAAGUUUAUUAGAACUCAAGGUGAAUUUUUUAACUAUUGAUUUUAGCUUGGUAAUUUCAUUCUUUAAAUUUUGAUUUUCUUAGAACAGGAUAGAUUUUUCAAUUGAAAUGCUCUCAUUUUGUUU
rnacentral:lncRNA from 1 species